rnacentral:rRNA from 1 species
CCUACGGGGUGCUGCAGUGGGGAAUAUUGCACAAUGGGCGCAAGCCUGAUGCAGCCAUGCCGCGUGUGUGAAGAAGGCCUUCGGGUUGUAAAGCACUUUCAGCGGGGAGGAAGGCGUUAAGGUUAAUAACCCUGGCGAUUGACGUUACCCGCAGAAGAAGCACCGGCUAACUCCGUGCCAGCAGCCGCGGUAAUACGGAGGGUGCAAGCGUUAAUCGGAAUUACUGGGCGUAAAGCGCACGCAGGCGGUCUGUCAAGUCGGAUGUGAAAUCCCCGGGCUCAACCUGGGAACUGCAUUCGAAACUGGCAGGCUAGAGUCUUGUAGAGGGGGGUAGAAUUCCAGGUGUAGCGGUGAAAUGCGUAGAGAUCUGGAGGAAUACCGGUGGCGAAGGCGGCCCCCUGGACAAAGACUGACGCUCAGGUGCGAAAGCGUGGGGAGCAAACAGGAUUAGAUACCCGUGUAGUC